rnacentral:misc_RNA from 1 species
CCGUUGGCAAACUUCCAUGACAAGUAGGUCAUGCUCUCAUAAGUUCUAUCUCCUGCUACCUCUUCGAUUGGUACAGCAGCAGCAAUUUCUUUCAGCUCUUCUUCUGUAAGUUUCACCUUCAGGGAGCCAAGGUUCUCGUCCAGGUUCUUGAUCUUAGUGGUCCCAGGAAUAGGCACAACAUCAUCCCCUUGUUGGAGAACCCAAGCCAAUGCUAGCUGAGAAGGAGAGCAUUGAUACUUCUUAGUAAGGUUUUCCAAUCGACUGUAUAUCCUUCUGUUUUUGUCCAAGUUCUCUGCUCGAAAUCUAGGAUGUCCAACCAAGCUGCUAUUUGCAGGCAAACUUUCCAUAAUUGCUUUACCAGCAAAAAAACCACGACCAAGAGGACUGUAUGGAACAAUUCCAAUACCAAGAUCCCUGCAAAGGGGAAUAAUCUCUUCCUCGAUAUCACGAGUCCAAAGAGACCACUCCAUUUGUACAGCUGUGAUGGGGUGAACAGCAUGUGCCCUCCUUAUUGUGUCUGGACUGGCUUCAGAUAGCCCAAUGUGCUUGAUUUUUCCUUCUUCCACCAGUUUUUUAAGUUCACUCAUAGUUUCCUCAAUAGGCACAGAAGUGUCAACUCGAUGCUGAUAAUACAGAUCAAUGUAAUCCACACCUAGGCGCUUCAAGCUAGCCUCACAACAUGAGCGUACAUACUCAGGGGUACCCUUAACUAUCAUAUGAGGAAAUUCCAUUUUAAAAACACCAAACUUAGUGGCUAACUGAAUUUUUUCUCUUGGUAACUGCUUCAAGGCCUUUCCCACCAAAAUUUCAUUAGUAUGGGGUCCGUAUAUAUCUGCCGUAUCAAAAAACGUGAUUCCUUUGUUGAAGGCAUCCCUCAAUAUAGAGAUUCCAUCUUCAUCUGAGACAGGAGUAUUAUAGACCCCAGUUAGGCCCAUACAUCCAAACCCCAGCUUUGAGACCUCAAGUCCUUGGCUCCCCAGUUUCACCCUUGGAAUUUGCAAGCUCAUCUCCGCUGCCAUCGUUUGGCUGGAAUAUUCUUG